ACUUCUAAAGAAUAAAAGUCAUUCACUGUCCUUAGGCGCCAAAAAACUUGGUGCAAUUCCAAGUAGAAGUAC
rnacentral:tRNA from 1 species